UACAGAGGGUGCAAGCGUUGUUCGGAAUCAUUGGGCGUAAAGGGCGCGUAGGCGGUCCUAUAAGUCGUAUGUGAAAGCCCAGGGCUCAACCUUGGAAGUGCAUAUGAUACUGCAGGACUAGAGUCCCGGAGAGGGUGGUGGAAUUCCCAGUGUAGAGGUGAAAUUCGUAGAUAUUGGGAGGAACACCGGUGGCGAAGGCGACCACCUGGACGGAGACUGACGCUGAGGCGCGAGAGCGUGGGGAGCAAACAGG
rnacentral:rRNA from 1 species